rnacentral:sRNA from 1 species
AAAGUAGUGUUUCCUUAUUAGAAGAUACAAAGCCAAAGACUCAUACGGACUUUGGCUACACCAUAAAAGCUUUGAGAAGCAAUAAGAAGCUUGGCUUAGUGUUUUGGAGUCAAAUAUGACUAUGAGUCAUUUGUAUGAUUAAGUAUAAGAACUAGUACCGCAAUCGGUUCCCAAAAGUUAAAGUAGAGUUUCAUUGGUACAAGAUACAUAGCCAAAGACUACUUCCA